rnacentral:rRNA from 1 species
CACGUAGGGGGCAAGCGUUGUCCGGAUUUACUGGGCGUAAAGAGCUCGUAGGCGGUCCGGCAAGUCGGGUGUGACAACUCCAGGCUCAACCUGGAGAGGUCACUCGAUACUGCUGUGACUAGAGUCCGGUAGGGGAGCAUGGAAUUCCCGGUGUAGCGGUGAAAUGCGCAGAUAUCGGGAGGAACACCAGUGGCGAAGGCGGUGCUCUGGGCCGGAACUGACGCUGAGGAGCGAAAGCGUGGGUAGCAAACAGG